UUUCAAAGUCCAAAUUGUUGCUUAGAAGCUUAUUGCCCAAUAAAGAUCCCUAUAGCAUCUUAUACGAUUUCCUUACAAAUUGGAAGAGAUCACAAAAUUUCAGUUUGUUGGUUUCUGACAAAGAAGAAAUUGUCUAGAGAAAUACUGGUGAGUGGUGACAAAUGUUCCAAAUGGACUAAAUGUUUCAGAAUCCGUGGGUAGUUGUUGGAAGAAAGGAAAGGAGUUCCUCUAAACUCAGUCAAUGUUAACAGGGAUUCAGACUGAACAAACUCACUUAAGGGGGCAUAGAGGGAAGAUUAGUUCACCAAGCGUGUGCACAAUUAUGAAAUACUUUUGGAAAUACAUAGCUCUUGUGAUGUUUAUUCUCUGGUCAUUAUGUUUUGAAUCAAUAUUCUGUUGUUAAUGUUACUGAUUGUUAGAGACUGACAUAUUUUAAUUGGUGAAGCACUUCUCGAAUGCUGGAUUUCCUUGCCCAAUCAUGCAAAGUCCUUCUGAUCACUUCUUGCGUGCUAUAAACACAGAAUUUGACAGGAUUAUUGCAAUGUGCAAAAGCUGGCAGGAUGACCAUGGAGACUUAUCAUCUGUGAGCAUGGAUACUGCUGUUGCUAUACGUACCCUUGAAGCAACCUAUAGAUCAUCGGCAGACGCUGCUGCUGUUGAGU